GUUUAUGAAGUGACUUCAGAGCAAAGGCUGCUGCUCUCUCCACAGCUGAGUUACAACUCCAUAAACCAAAAAAGUGGCGCACAUCGGACUGAGAAUUACGGUCUACCAGAAAUAUUGGAUCAUGAAGAUCCUUGUCAUGAAUCGUGAUGUCAUAGUGACUCAAGGGUCACUAGUUACGGGGAGAAUUUCCGGAAAAGCAUUAAUUACAACCCCGAAACUGCCGAGCUUGUCUAAUAUUAUGUUGUUCAUUAUUACUAAUGUAUUUUAUGACAUGAUGCUUUUUUCAAGAAGUAGAAAAACUUCCAACUGAAAAAUGAAAUAUGGGAACAUUUCUCAGAAGUUGUUAUGCUUCAGAAAGUUUUCCAUGGAAAAAUUCCGAGCCCAUAUCCCCAGAUCCUGAAGUAUCCAAACUUACAAGUCACCAUACAGAAGCAGCGUGCCUACCUUCAAAGACCUGUGCAGCCUUUCUGCAAAGAACGCUGGAGUGUUGGUUGCACAUUUCACUAUCAAAAGGAAAACCAAGCGUUAAAAAGUUGAUCUCACGCCCCCUGCUGCAUUGUCUCUCCACCAAGCAAGCCUUGGCUUGCAUUCAUAACUUUACAAAAAGGAUUCACCAAAAGAGCUCAUCUGGUGGGCCAUCACUGGGUUGGCAAAACACCCAACAAGCCGGUUAAUGUACAGAGUCAAGCACUUGUUGACAGUGUUUUUGUUAGCAAUUUUUUUUCUUACUACUGCCCCCUUGUGGGUAAUUAUAGCAGUUUUCUGCAAGCUUCA